AUUGAACGCUGGCGGCAUGCCUAACACAUGCAAGUCGAACGGAAACGAUGGGAGCUUGCCUCCCAGGCGUCGAGUGGCGGACAGGUGAGUAAUACAUAGGAAUCUACCCAGUAGGCGGGGACAACGUUGGGGAAACUCAAGCUAAUACCGCAUACCGCCCCACGGGGGAAAGCAGGGGAUCUUCGGACCUUGCACUAUUGGAUGAGCCUAUGUCAGAUUAGCUUGUUGGUGGGGUAACGGCCUACCAAGGCGACGAUCUGUAGCUGGUCUGAGAGGACGAUCAGCCACACUGGGACUGAGACACGGCCCAG
rnacentral:rRNA from 1 species